GCAUAUCAAUAAGCGGAGGAAAAGAAACCAACAGGGAUUGCCUCAGUAACGGCGAGUGAAGCGGCAAAAGCUCAAAUUUGAAAUCCCGCGGGAGUUGUAAUUUGAAGGUUUCGGGUUCUGAGGCUGUGCGCGCCCAAGUCCAUUGGAACAUGGCGCCUGGGAGGGUGAGAGCCCCGUCCGGCGCUGCGCAGUCUUUUUUUGCGACCCGUUUCCGACGAGUCGAGUUGUUUGGGAAUGCAGCUCAAAGUGGGUGGUAAAUUCCAUCUAAAGCUAAAUAUUGGCGAGAGACCGAUAGCGAACAAGUACAGUGAUGGAAAGAUGAAAAGCACUUUGAAAAGAGAGUGAAACAGUACGUGAAAUUGUUGAAAGGGAAGGGCUUGCAAGCAGACACGGUUUCGGCCGGGCCAGCAUCGGUUUGCCGGGGCGGACAAUGCGGCGGGAAUGUGGCGCGUCUCCUUGUGGGGCGCGUGUUUAUAGCCCGGCGUGAUACGCCCAUGGUAGACCGAGGCCUGCGAUCUAAUCUAGGAUGCUGGCGUAAUGGUUGCAAGCCGCCCGUCUUGAAACACGGACCAAGGAGUCUAACGUCUAUGCGAGUGUUUGGGUGGAUAAAACCCCAGCGCGGAAUGAAAGUAAGAGGUUGGAGCCCCUCUCGGGGGGCGCACAAUCGACCGACCCUGAAGUGCUCGGACGGGUUUGAGUAGGAGCAUAGCUGUUGGGACCCGAAAGAUGGUGAACUAUGCCUGGAUAGGGUGAAGCCAGAGGAAACUCUGGUGGAGGCUCGUAGCGGUUCUGACGUGCAAAUCGAUCGUCGAAUCUGGGUAUAGGGGCGAAAGACUAAUCGAACCAUCUAGUAGCUGGUUCCUGCG
rnacentral:rRNA from 1 species